rnacentral:tRNA from 1 species
GCGUCCUUAGCUCAGUCGGUCAGAGCGCUCGCUUCACACGCGAGAGGCCGGAAGUCCGAAUCUUCCAGGGCGCA